AGCACUUACCGUGCAUAUGUCGAAAGUUUAAAGGGCCAUAUGUACUGUAAAACGUACGAUACACGUGCGAAUAGAUAAUUCGCAACUCGUGUCGAUUUAAAACACUCCCUCCGGUCGUGUUUUAAUUUAUCGCCACUCGUUUCGAAUUUCCUCUUUUCUGCACUUGUAUCGUAAAUAACUAUUCGAGUACAUAUGAUACUACUUUACCGCACUAGUGCGAUAAUUAGCACAUUACGU